rnacentral:rRNA from 1 species
GACGAACGCUGGCGGCGCGCUUAACACAUGCAAGUCGAGCGAGAACCAGGGCUUCGGCUCUGGGGACAGCGGCGAACGGGUGAGUAACACGUGAGUAAUCUGCCCUCGACACUGGGAUAGCCCGGGGAAACCCGGAUUAAUACCGGAUAGCCUUUCGAGCUCUCGGGCUCGUCAGAAAAGGAUGGCUUCGGCUUUCGGUU